AGUGAACGCUGGCGGCAGGCCUAACACAUGCAAGUCGAACGGCAGCACAGUAAGUGCUUGCUCUUACGGGUGGCGAGUGGCGGACGGGUGCGGAAUACAUCGGAAUCUACUUUUUCGUGGGGGCUAACGUAGGGAAACUUACGCUAAUACCGCAUACGACCUACGGGUGAAAGCAGGGGAUCUUCGGACCUUGUGCGAUUGUAUGAGCCGAUGUCGGAUUAGAUAGUUGGCGGGGCAAAGGCCCACCAAGGCGACGCUCGGUAGCUGGUCUGAGAGGCUGAUCAGCGACACUGGAAGUGAGACAGGGUCCAGACUCCGACGGGAGGCAGCAGUGGGGAAUAUUGGACGAGGGGCGCAAGCCGGAUCCAGCCAUACCGCGUGGGGGAAGAAGGCCUUCGGGUUGUAAAGCCCUGUUGUUGGGAAGGAAAAGCAGCAGGUUAAUACCCCGCCGUUCUGACGGUACCCAAAGAAUAAGCACCGGCUAACUUCGUG
rnacentral:rRNA from 1 species